GGCAUGCGGCGGCUACCAUGCAGUCGAACGAUGAACCUCACUUGUGGGGGGAUUAGUGGCGAACGGGUGAGUAACACGUGAGUAACCUGCCCUUGACUCUGGGAUAAGCCUGGGAAACCGGGUCUAAUACUGGAUACGACCUUCUGGCGCAUGCCAUGUUGGUGGAAAGCUUUUGUGGUUUUGGAUGGACUCGCGGCCUAUCAGCUUGUUGGUGGGGUAAUGGCCUACCAAGGCGACGACGGGUAGCCGGCCUGAGAGGGUGACCGGCCACACUGGGACUGAGACACGGCCCACACUCCUACGGGAGGCAGCAGUGGGGAAUAUUGCACAAUGGGCGCAAGCCUGAUGCACCGACGCCGCGUGAGGGAUGAAGGCCUUCGGGUUGUAAACCUCUUUCAGUAGGGAAGAAGUCGGCCUUUUUGGGUUGGUGACGGUACCUGCAGAAGAAGCGCCGGCUAACUACGUGCCAGCAGCCGCGGUAAUACGUAGGGCGCAAGCGUUAUCCGGAAUUAUUGGGCGUAAAGAGCUCGUAGGCGGUUUGUCGCGUCUGCCGUGAAAGUCCGGGGCUUAACCCCGGAUCUGCGGUGGGUACGGGCAGACUAGAGUGCAGUAGGGGAGACUGGAAUUCCUGGUGUAGCGGUGAAAUGCGCAGAUAUCAGGAGGAACACCGAUGGCGAAGGCAGGUCUCUGGGCUGUAACUGACGCUGAGGAGCGAAAGCAUGGGGAGCGAACAGGAUUAGAUACCCUGGUAGUCCAUGCCGUAAACGUUGGGCACUACGUGUGGGGGACAUUCCACGUUUUCCGCGCCGUAGCUAACGCAUUAAGUGCCCCGCCUGGGGGAGUACGGUCGCAAGGCUAAAACUCAAAGGAAUUGACUGGGGCCCGGCACAAGCG
rnacentral:rRNA from 1 species